rnacentral:rRNA from 1 species
GUGGGGAAUAUUGGACAAUGGGCGAAAGCCUGAUCCAGCCAUGCCGCGUGUGUGAAGAAGGUCUUCGGAUUGUAAAGCACUUUAAGUUGGGAGGAAGGGCAGUAAGUUAAUACCUUGCUGUUUUGACGUUACCGACAGAAUAAGCACCGGCUAACUUCGUGCCAGCAGCCGCGGUGAUACGAAGGGUGCAAGCGUUAAUCGGAAUUACUGGGCGUAAAGCGCGCGUAGGUGGUUUUGUAAGUUGGAGGUGAAAUCCCCGGGCUCAACCUGGGAACUGCCUCCAAAACUGCAUGACUAGAGUACGGUAGAGGGUAGUGGAAUUUCCUGUGUAGCGGUGAAAUGCGUAGAUAUAGGAAGGAACACCAGUGGCGAAGGCGACUACCUGGACUGAUACUGACACUGAGGUGCGAAAGCGUGGGGAGCAAACAGGAUUAGAAACCCCGGUAGUCC